GGGCUGCCUAUGUCACGGUAUCACAUGUCAGAAAGAUGAAAAGGACUCCAAAUCUAAGCUCUCCACAAACUUGGCCCUCCGAUUCUGGGCCAGAGAGCUUCUUGGCCUUAAUAUAAAUGGCAGGAGAGACAUUUCAGGGCCAGAAAGGUGCAAACUUUUAUCUUGUUGAUGACAGAAAACGACGCAUGACCUCAGCUUAGCUCGGUGGGGACGAUCAAACCAGAAACAAAGGCCGUAUUUUUCUCUGCUCUUGUCCCUGCUGUCAGCUUCCAAGUGCAACCUGAGCCUGGAUUCCGAACCCAGUGUCCAGAUUAGAGAUUGUUGACUCAGAUUUAGUGGUGAAACGUGAGCCGGACUCUGUUGAUGGCAAGCCUUGAAGAAGCAAGUUUACUUAAGCCAAGAGAGAGAUUGUAUGUCAGACCAGAGCCUGGCUUUUCUUUAUCACAAACUUCCUGAUCUGCCUCUGUUUUAAUAGUUUCCACCACCACCACUGAGAGCAAGAAAGAGAGUGAGACAGAGAGACAUAGAGAAAGAGAGAGGAAGCACCCCUCUCAGUUCCGUCUCUUCAGUGUUAUAAAUCAGGAAAUUAACAAGUGUGUAACUGGCCUUUGCCACAGUCAAAGACAAUGAGCCUUUUGUGUUUCUAACUGGGGGCCGGCACUUAACAUAAUCAAUGAAGAACUCUACUCAGAAAGGAUGAAAAAUGGAGGCUUGAUCCGGCCAUUUAAAGGAUCUUUCCUAAUACUCAGGCACAUGGCUUUUAUGAGACGCAAACACGGCUUAGAACCUUGCCUUUGGUCUGAAGGCGGGUCAUUAAGAGAAAUCAUUACAUCGCUUUCCCUGUCUCUGUCUCUCUCUCCGUUUUUCUUUGGCUCCCUCCUGGCUUUUCCUUGGCUUCUGAUUCCAUCCCUCUUUUAGAUUCUCUGUGCCUUCAGUAAUUUAUGUGCAAGAUAUUUUCCCAACCUCCAAAUGUUUUUCCAUUUGGCAAACCAUGUCCCGAAG
rnacentral:lncRNA from 1 species